rnacentral:rRNA from 1 species
AGUGAACGCUGGCGGUAGGCCUAACACAUGCAAGUCGAACGGCAGCACAGUAAGAGCUUGCUCUUACGGGUGGCGAGUGGCGGACGAGUGAGGAAUACAUCGGAAUCUACUUUUUCGUGGGGGAUAACGUAGGGAAACUUACGCUAAUACCGCAUACGACCUACGGGUGAAAGCAGGGGAUCUUCGGACCUUGCGCGAUUGAAUGAGCCGAUGUCGGAUUAGCUAGUUGGCGGGGUAAAGGCCCACCAAGGCGACGAUCCGUAGCUGGUCUGAGAGGAUGAUCAGCCACACUGGAACUAAGACACGGUCCAGACUCCUACGGGAGGCAGCAGUGGGGAAUAUUGGACAAUGGGCGCAAGCCUGAUCCAGCCAUACCGCGUGGGUGAAGAAGGCCUUCGGGUUGUAAAGCCCUUUUGUUGGGAAAGAAAAGCAGCAGGUUAAUACCCCGCUGUUCUGACGGUACCCAAAGAAUAAGCACCGGCUAACUUCGU